rnacentral:rRNA from 2 species
UUAAGCGACUAAGCGUACACGGUGGAUGCCCUGGCAGUCAGAGGCGAUGAAGGACGUGCUAAUCUGCGAUAAGCGUCGGUAAGGUGAUAUGAACCGUUAUAACCGGCGAUUUCCGAAUGGGGAAACCCAGUGUGUUUCGACACACUAUCAUUAACUGAAUCCAUAGGUUAAUGAGGCGAACCGGGGGAACUGAAACAUCUAAGUACCCCGAGGAAAAGAAAUCAACCGAGAUUCCCCCAGUAGCGGCGAGCGAACGGGGAGCAGCCCAGAGCCUGAAUCAGUGUGUGUGUUAGUGGAAGCGUCUGGAAAGGCGCGCGAUACAGGGUGACAGCCCCGUACACAAAAAUGCACAUGCUGUGAGCUCGAUGAGUAGGGCGGGACACGUGGUAUCCUGUCUGAAUAUGGGGGGACCAUCCUCCAAGGCUAAAUACUCCUGACUGACCGAUAGUGAACCAGUACCGUGAGGGAAAGGCGAAAAGAACCCCGGCGAGGGGAGUGAAAAAGAACCUGAAACCGUGUACGUACAAGCAGUGGGAGCACGCUUAGGCGUGUGACUGCGUACCUUUUGUAUAAUGGGUCAGCGACUUAUAUUCUGUAGCAAGGUUAACCGAAUAGGGGAGCCGAAGGGAAACCGAGUCUUAACUGGGCGUUAAGUUGCAGGGUAUAGACCCGAAACCCGGUGAUCUAGCCAUGGGCAGGUUGAAGGUUGGGUAACACUAACUGGAGGACCGAACCGACUAAUGUUGAAAAAUUAGCGGAUGACUUGUGGCUGGGGGUGAAAGGCCAAUCAAACCGGGAGAUAGCUGGUUCUCCCCGAAAGCUAUUUAGGUAGCGCCUCGUGAAUUCAUCUCCGGGGGUAGAGCACUGUUUCGGCAAGGGGGUCAUCCCGACUUACCAACCCGAUGCAAACUGCGAAUACCGGAGAAUGUUAUCACGGGAGACACACGGCGGGUGCUAACGUCCGUCGUGAAGAGGGAAACAACCCAGACCGCCAGCUAAGGUCCCAAAGUCAUGGUUAAGUGGGAAACGAUGUGGGAAGGCCCAGACAGCCAGGAUGUUGGCUUAGAAGCAGCCAUCAUUUAAAGAAAGCGUAAUAGCUCACUGGUCGAGUCGGCCUGCGCGGAAGAUGUAACGGGGCUAAACCAUGCACCGAAGCUGCGGCAGCGACGCUUAUGCGUUGUUGGGUAGGGGAGCGUUCUGUAAGCCUGCGAAGGUGUGCUGUGAGGCAUGCUGGAGGUAUCAGAAGUGCGAAUGCUGACAUAAGUAACGAUAAAGCGGGUGAAAAGCCCGCUCGCCGGAAGACCAAGGGUUCCUGUCCAACGUUAAUCGGGGCAGGGUGAGUCGACCCCUAAGGCGAGGCCGAAAGGCGUAGUCGAUGGGAAACAGGUUAAUAUUCCUGUACUUGGUGUUACUGCGAAGGGGGGACGGAGAAGGCUAUGUUGGCCGGGCGACGGUUGUCCCGGUUUAAGCGUGUAGGCUGGUUUUCCAGGCAAAUCCGGAAAAUCAAGGCUGAGGCGUGAUGACGAGGCACUACGGUGCUGAAGCAACAAAUGCCCUGCUUCCAGGAAAAGCCUCUAAGCAUCAGGUAACAUCAAAUCGUACCCCAAACCGACACAGGUGGUCAGGUAGAGAAUACCAAGGCGCUUGAGAGAACUCGGGUGAAGGAACUAGGCAAAAUGGUGCCGUAACUUCGGGAGAAGGCACGCUGAUAUGUAGGUGAAGUCCCUCGCGGAUGGAGCUGAAAUCAGUCGAAGAUACCAGCUGGCUGCAACUGUUUAUUAAAAACACAGCACUGUGCAAACACGAAAGUGGACGUAUACGGUGUGACGCCUGCCCGGUGCCGGAAGGUUAAUUGAUGGGGUCAGCGCAAGCGAAGCUCUUGAUCGAAGCCCCGGUAAACGGCGGCCGUAACUAUAACGGUCCUAAGGUAGCGAAAUUCCUUGUCGGGUAAGUUCCGACCUGCACGAAUGGCGUAAUGAUGGCCAGGCUGUCUCCACCCGAGACUCAGUGAAAUUGAACUCGCUGUGAAGAUGCAGUGUACCCGCGGCAAGACGGAAAGACCCCGUGAACCUUUACUAUAGCUUGACACUGAACAUUGAGCCUUGAUGUGUAGGAUAGGUGGGAGGCUUUGAAGUGUGGACGCCAGUCUGCAUGGAGCCGACCUUGAAAUACCACCCUUUAAUGUUUGAUGUUCUAACGUUGACCCGUGAUCCGGGUUGCGGACAGUGUCUGGUGGGUAGUUUGACUGGGGCGGUCUCCUCCUAAAGAGUAACGGAGGAGCACGAAGGUUGGCUAAUCCUGGUCGGACAUCAGGAGGUUAGUGCAAUGGCAUAAGCCAGCUUGACUGCGAGCGUGACGGCGCGAGCAGGUGCGAAAGCAGGUCAUAGUGAUCCGGUGGUUCUGAAUGGAAGGGCCAUCGCUCAACGGAUAAAAGGUACUCCGGGGAUAACAGGCUGAUACCGCCCAAGAGUUCAUAUCGACGGCGGUGUUUGGCACCUCGAUGUCGGCUCAUCACAUCCUGGGGCUGAAGUAGGUCCCAAGGGUAUGGCUGUUCGCCAUUUAAAGUGGUACGCGAGCUGGGUUUAGAACGUCGUGAGACAGUUCGGUCCCUAUCUGCCGUGGGCGCUGGAGAACUGAGGGGGGCUGCUCCUAGUACGAGAGGACCGGAGUGGACGCAUCACUGGUGUUCGGGUUGUCAUGCCAAUGGCACUGCCCGGUAGCUAAAUGCGGAAGAGAUAAGUGCUGAAAGCAUCUAAGCACGAAACUUGCCCCGAGAUGAGUUCUCCCUGACUCCUUGAGAGUCCUGAAGGAACGUUGAAGACGACGACGUUGAUAGGCCGGGUGUGUAAGCGCAGCGAUGCGUUGAGCUAACCGGUACUAAUGAACCGUGAGGCUUAACCUU